UUCAGCCAUCUUGGAUUUUGUAUGUAAACAAUCUGCAAUAUUUUGCAAUAUCUUUUUUUCGCUCUUUGUGUGUGGAAUUGUUUUGGUGGGAAUAAGGGCAUUGAAAAGUUGAAAGCUCAAGAGAAUAAAUCGACUUUCGGUGUCGGUCGGUGAUGGAGGUAUUUUUCCCGCGUUUUGCAGCUAGAGACGUCGGUUAAUUAUUCGAUUGAUUUCUAGGAACUUCCUGCGACUUGUUCUUGACUUGUUCAGCUCAUAUAUUAUAGAAAAAAAAACCCGAAGCUGUAACGGUAAAAAUAACCAUAAGCCACCGAUUAAUUUAUAAUCUACAGUUUACAAUUCUUCCGCAAGUGCAAUUAUUUCACAAGUGUGUAUAUGCGUGACCAUUAUAUUUAGUGAACAACUAAACGAAUGUCAAACAUUUGUACUUUACUUUUGCACGUAUGA